rnacentral:rRNA from 1 species
GACGAACGCUGGCGGCGUGCUUAACACAUGCAAGUCGAACGGAAAGGCCUCGUUCUUGGGGUACUCUAGUGUCGAGCGGGUGUGUGACACACGAGUGGCCUACCCUUGUCUUUGUGAUAACUUCAUGAGACUGUCGGUAGUACCUCAGAUGAGAUCUUGCUGCACGGCUGUGGUUGUAAAGAUUCGCGGUUUUGGUGUGAACUCGCGGCGUAUCCGCUUGUUGUUGGGGUAGUGUCUUACCCAUGGGUUGACGGGUAGACGGCCUGAGAGGGUGAACGGCCAUACUGGGACCGAGAUACGGCACAGACUCCUAAGGGAGGGAGCAGUGGGGAAUAUUGCACAAUGGGUGGAAGCCUGAUGCAGCAAGUCCGCGGGCGGGAUGACGGCCUUAGGGGUGUAAAACGCUUUUGCACAUGACGAAGCAUUGUGUGACGGUAGUGGGUAAAGAAGCACCGGCUAACUACGUG